GUCAGGCAGAGUGAUUCCAGCUACAUAGACAUCGACACUCUCCUCAUAGAGGUUUGCAAUCCCAAGCUGUUGUGAGGUAAGCCGACCAGAUGUAGAAGACCCUUCUCUGCAAAACUGGAAGAGAUGUCCCGGUGAUCACAAACCCUCAGUUACAGAAUUCAAAGGCACUGAAAUGGGUAAAACGCCAACUGAAGAUCUGGGAAAUUUACUAGCAAAAAUGAUCGGUGGAACUCGAAUAAACGCAACCAAAUGAAUCAAGUGAAGAAAUCAAUCCAUGACCCAGACAAAGAAGGCAGAGAAAAGUCAACAAAAUGGAUGGGAAAAUCAGUAAUAUUGAUGAAAAAAAAAAGCCAACAAAAAGAAAGAGAAUUCAUCAAAGAACUUGAGAUUAACAACAAAGCGAAGCUAAAUGCUGGAAAGGACCACAUUGGUCAAUCAGUUAGAAACACAGAGGAAAACAUCACCAGUAGAUUUAGGCAAGUACAAGAAAGAAGAGCAGAGGUUGAGGCAAAGGCUGAGAAAACACUACAUUCAAACAUCAACACUUUAAUCCAAAAAUAGUUAACUAUGAAACAGCAACCCCACCCACCUGAAAGUUAUAAACAGAAUGUUUAGAAUAGUAAACACCAGAGUGGAGGCUUGAAUGGCUUCCAUAAGGCUCAUAUAUUUGAGUGUCGGUCUUUGCAGCUGUAAUACCACCUUUGAUAUUACUACCAAGGUGGGUCACUGUGAUGGUUUGAAUAUUCUUGGCCAGGAAGUGGCAGUAUUAGGAGGUUUUGUUGGUAUAGUUGUGGCCUUGUUGGAGGAAGUGUGUCACUGUGGGAGUGGGCAAUGAGGCCCUGCUCCGAGCUGCCUGGACACAGUCUGCUCCUGGCUUCCUUUGGAUGAAGAUGCGGAACUUCUCCAGCACCAUGCCAGCCUGGACACCUCCAUGCUGCCCACCAUGAUGAUAAUAGACUGAACCUAAGAACCCAUAAGCCAGCCCCAACUAAAUGUUGUGUUUUGUAAGAGUUGCCUUGGUUAUGGUGUCUCUUCACAGCAAUGGAAACCCUAACUAAGACACUGUACUACUGGAUGUGACAAGCAAGGAGGUACCACUGGACAUAGAAAGCAAAUGGAGAGACAUGGCAAGGAGAAAGGAUGUCAGUACUGAAGCUACUGCUAAGAGCCAAGAAAGGGGCUGGAAAGAGGACUCAGCUGUCAAGAACACUUGCUUCCUUCCAGACAACUCAGGUUCAACUCCCAGAAUCUUCGUAGGGGCUCACAACUGUGUGAACCUCCAGUCCCAGGGGGGAAUCUGAAACCUCUUCUGGUCUGUGCAAGCACCAGGCACAAAAGUGGUACACAGAUACACACAGAAGCUAAACACCCAUACACAUAAAAUAAAAAUGUAAAAAGGAUGAAUUAAGAGUCCUGUAAACACCACAGGAAGAUGAUGCUCAGAGCCCCCGAGUACCUGACUGUUCUUGCCAUGGAUUCAUGGGACAGAACCAGAGCCCAUCAUCCAUGAAGCAUUUAUGGAAGUCUAGAUUCUGCUAGCCAGCACAAGUUUCUCUAUUCUACACCACUUUAUAUCUUGGAAAUUUUGGCGAUCUCCUUAAAAUCAGAUCUCCAUGCUUAAAAUCAGCCAUGCUGAGAGGUGAGGAGGGGCUUUGUAAAGAGAUAAUUAGGACAUGAGUAUUCUGUCCUCCUUCACAGAUUAAUUUGUUAUCACGAGACAAGGUUAAAAUUAAAAUCAGAUCUUAGUCCUUAGGUAUUGAAUUUUUCAGUCCCUAGGACUGUAAAAAACCCCCCACAAAAUUUCUUUAUAAAUAACUCAGACCUUAACAACACAGAAAAGAUCAAGAUGCUGUGACAAUGUUUAAUGUUAACAUGACUAGAUUUGGAAUCACGGAGGAGACAUACUUCUGGUAUAUCCUCGAGGAUGCUUCCAGACAGAUUCCACCAAGGAGGAAAGACCCACCCCGAAUGUGGAGAGCAUCCUCUUGUAGGCUAGGGUUUGAACUGAAUAAAAGGAAAAAGAGAAGAAGUCGCAUGAGGGCCAGCACCUACCUCUCUGCUUCCUGACUGCGGAUUAACUGUGACCAGCUGCCUCACAUCACAGGGAGUACUUCCCUUGCUGCUCUUGUCUUUCCUGCCAUGACUGGACUGUGCCCUCCAACCAUAAGCCGAAGUAAACCCCUCUUCCUUAGGUUGUGCUUGUCAAGUAUGUUGUCAUGGCAACAAGAAAAGUUGCUACUACAGAACACUAGUACCAAGAGAUGGGGUUGUUACUGUGAGAAAACCUGCCCAUGUAGCUGUGAGGCCUUCUGAACUGAUGUGAGGGAGGAAUGUGGAAGCUUUUGGAGCCCUGAGCUAUAGCAUGUGUGGGGAGCUCAGACAGCCAGAAUGCUGAUAGAGAUGGAGACGCUCAAUGUGGUUUCAGAGGGAAACAAAGACUUUAUUGAGCAUUGGACCUGAAGUUCUGUGUAUUAUAUUCUGGAGUCCCCAAAUGAGCUUGUUUUCUUCCCAUAUGCUUAUAACUGAGUGAGGCUGAAUUCAAAAGCAGUGGACCACGUUGUUUGGCAGCAGAGAUUUCAAGACUACAGAACGUUCAGGUUAUGGCAUAGUUCCUUACUGCUUACUGUAUUGACUGAGAUUCAUAAUGAUAUUUCAAAGCACAAAGACACGGAAAAAUGUACAGAUAGGUCAAAAAAGGAGUGGAAGCCAACUUGAAGACUCCAACAAAAUCAGUGCCUAGAAAGCACCUAUAAUUGCUGAAGAGACUAGUGCCAUUGAAGAGCCACCAAAUGCUCCUCAAUAGGACAGUAGGGAACGCCUGACCCACCCAUUGAAAGCUAUUACUUAUGAUAAUGUGAGUUUGAAAAGGGGUCUUGAAAGGGGUUCCCUUUUCAAAACAACCACCACCUAGGGGAGUGUUUUCCCAGGUUCAGCCGCUAAGGUGCAGAGCUAUAGCUAUGAGAGACAAUGUCAGACUGUACCUAGAGCUAAUAGAAUUACUAAUUAAUAAUUGCCUGCAUUAUGCUGGCUUGGCAGGCUUGUAAAGUGCAAGAGUGAGCGGCACCCUGAGGGUUUGCAACAAGGAUCCAGAGAACUGCUGCCAUCAAGUCAAGUGUGGAAGGGUCUGAUUCUUUAAAAACAAGUCUUCACAUCCCUUUUACCCAGGAUCUACUUUCCAUCCCUGCAAAACAGUGCCUAGAGAUGUAGCCCAGCUGGUGGAGUGCUUGUCUCUUGUGUUCGAAUCCCUGUGUUUGAUAGCCAGCACUACAUAAACUGGGUGUGGUGGUGUACACCAAUAAUCCCAGCACCUAGGAGGUAGAGGCAAGAGGAUCAGAAUGUCAAGAUCAAGACAUAGAGCACACUAAAUCAGUGGAUCAACCAAAAACCAAUUGUAACAGGGGCCCAGACCUUAGUGCAACUGACUCCAUGAUGCAAACGCCAUACUGUGAAACUCAGCUUCUCCAGUUUAUUGUCCUAGCCAACUCUUCCUUUCAUUUUGUCUGCCCUAUGUCUGUAUUUUCCCAUACUGGACAGGAUGAGAAGUUGACUUUCGAGCCUGGACUCCCACUUCUCCACUCACUGCCCAGUGAACAGAUUUGUGCUAUUAGUGCUCAGCCUCAGUUUCCCCUUUCAUUUUACAACACCAAGUAUGUCUCUUGGGAGGGCCUUCUCUCUGGGACCAACAGAUGGCAGAUAAAACCUCUCACCCCUUGCUCUAUGCAUCUUGUUUACCUGACUGCCCCUG
rnacentral:lncRNA from 1 species